CAGGACUACUUUCCAACUUGCUGUAUUAAGUUCUUCCAUUAGCUGUUGCUGAAGGUUCACCUGCCGUAGAGGGAAACUGCGUAUCAUCAGCAAGACGCAAGUGAUUAAGGUUUUUGCAGAACCAGCAUAGGAAGUCCAUGUUGGCUAUUAUUGCAAGGCUUGAUCAAUCAGUCAUCCAGAUCCUUGCCACUGCAACUACUGAAUAGGCUGGUGAUCCUAUUCAGGAGCCACAGGUUCUGAGGCAACGCAAGACCAUAC